AGAUAAUUUCUGAAGGAAGUGAUUGAAAGAAAAGAGAUAGAUCCCACCAAUCCUUCCCCACCCUUGAUAAGAUUUGAAUUGAAACCGAAGCUGAGCAUUCAACAGCACAAGCUUUAUUCAAUGGCCAAAGAAUGGAGAAGUGAAACUAUGUUCACAAGCCAACUUCUCAGCUCUUGGUGUGAUUAAGCAGCUAAUACACAGGGUCUUGAUUAUCUGGAUUUUUCUUGUUACUGUGGGAGCGAUGGUGUUCCCGCUGGCUAACUAGAUCCUAGACUGAAGCUGGAAGUCCUCCAGGGUUGAUUUUAAAGCAAAUAAAACUUCUCUUGGACCAGAGAGGAAACUCUAAUUUAACAAACACAUGUUUAAUGAGCGAUUGGACUUUAUCUACAACUAAAAGUAAGUAAUUCUGUCUUAUAUUCCCUGUUGAUUGAGGAGGAUGAUGGCAUUCAGUGAGACUGUGAGAAGGUUUGCUUUUGAGACUGUAGGCUAAUUUUUAACUGAAAACAGUAUAUUUACCUAAAUUAGUGGAAAAUAUAAUAUAGUAAGUGCUAGGAUAGGAGUUCUUAAUCCUUUUUUUCUUUUUUUUUUUUUUGGUGCCAUAGAACACUUCCACAAUCUAUGAAUCUUUUCUCAAAACAAUGUUAUUAAAUGCAGGACUUAAAAUA
rnacentral:lncRNA from 1 species